UACGAAGGGUGCGAGCGUUAUUCGGAAUUAUUGGGCGUAAAGGGUUCGUAGGUUGAAAUAUAAGUCACAUGUGAAAACACCGAGCUUAACUUGGUACGUGCGUGUGAAACUGUAUUUCUUGAGAUUUGGAGAGGGUAGUGGAAUUGUUGGUGUAGGAGUGACAUCCGUAGAGAUCAGCAGGAACAUCAGAGGCGAAGGCGACUACCUGGCCAGAGACUGACACUGAGGAACGAAAGCGUGGGGAGCAAACAGG
rnacentral:rRNA from 1 species